rnacentral:rRNA from 1 species
UACGAAGGGGGCUAGCGUUGUUCGGAAUUACUGGGCGUAAAGGGCGCGUAGGCGGUGUGUCAAGUCAGGCGUGAAAGCCCCGGGCUCAACCUGGGAACCGCGCUUGAGACUGGCACGCUCGAGUUCGGGAGAGGAUGGUGGAAUUCCCAGUGCAGAGGUGAAAUUCGUAGAUAUUGGGAAGAACACCGAUGGCGAAGGCAGCCAUCUGGACCGACACUGACGCUGAGGCGCGAAAGCGUGGGGAGCAAACAGG